ACUAAGCGUACACGGUGGAUGCCCUGGCAGUCAGAGGCGAUGAAGGACGUGCUAAUCUGCGAAAAGCGUCGGUAAGGUGAUAUGAACCGUUAUAACCGGCGAUGUCCGAAUGGGGAAACCCAGUGUGAUUCGUCACACUAUCGUUAACUGAAUACAUAGGUUAACGAGGCGAACCGGGGGAACUGAAACAUCUAAGUACCCCGAGGAAAAGAAAUCAACCGAGAUUCCCCCAGUAGCGGCGAGCGAACGGGGAGCAGCCCAGAGUCUGAAUCAGCUUGUGUGUUAGUGGAACGGUCUGGAAAGUCCGACGGUACAGGGUGAUAGUCCCGUACACCAAAAUGCACAGGUUGUGAACUCGAAGAGUAGGGCGGGACACGUGGUAUCCUGUCUGAAUAUGGGGGGACCAUCCUCCAAGGCUAAAUACUCCUGACUGACCGAUAGUGAACCAGUACCGUGAGGGAAAGGCGAAAAGAACCCCGGCGAGGGGAGUGAAAAAGAACCUGAAACCGUGUACGUACAAGCAGUGGGAGCACCUUCGGGUGUGACUGCGUACCUUUUGUAUAAUGGGUCAGCGACUUAUAUUCUGUAGCAAGGUUAACCGUAUAGGGGAGCCGCAGGGAAACCGAGUCUUAACUGGGCGUUAAGUUGCAGGGUAUAGACCCGAAACCCGGUGAUCUAGCCAUGGGCAGGUUGAAGGUUGGGUAACACUAACUGGAGGACCGAACCGACUAAUGUUGAAAAAUUAGCGGAUGACUUGUGGCUGGGGGUGAAAGGCCAAUCAAACCGGGAGAUAGCUGGUUCUCCCCGAAAGCUAUUUAGGUAGCGCCUCGUGAACUCAUCUUCGGGGGUAGAGCACUGUUUCGGCUAGGGGGUCAUCCCGACUUACCAACCCGAUGCAAACUACGAAUACCGAAGAAUGUUAUCACGGGAGACACACGGCGGGUGCUAACGUCCGUCGUGAAGAGGGAAACAACCCAGACCGCCAGCUAAGGUCCCAAAGUCAUGGUUAAGUGGGAAACGAUGUGGGAAGGCACAGACAGCCAGGAUGUUGGCUUAGAAGCAGCCAUCAUUUAAAGAAAGCGUAAUAGCUCACUGGUCGAGUCGGCCUGCGCGGAAGAUGUAACGGGGCUAAACCAUGCACCGAAGCUGCGGCAGCGACACUAUGUGUUGUUGGGUAGGGGAGCGUUCUGUAAGCCUGCGAAGGUGACCUGUGAGGGUUGCUGGAGGUAUCAGAAGUGCGAAUGCUGACAUAAGUAACGAUAAAGCGGGUGAAAAGCCCGCUCGCCGGAAGACCAAGGGUUCCUGUCCAACGUUAAUCGGGGCAGGGUGAGUCGACCCCUAAGGCAAGGCCGAAAGGCGUAGUCGAUGGGAAACAGGUUAAUAUUCCUGUACUUGGUGUUACUGCGAAGGGGGGACGGAGAAGGCUAUGUUAGCCGGGCGACGGUUGUCCCGGUUUAAGCAUGUAGGCUGGUUAUCCAGGCAAAUCCGGAUAAUCAAGGCUGAGGUGUGAUGACGAGGCACUACGGUGCUGAAGUAACAAAUGCCCUGCUUCCAGGAAAAGCCUCUAAGCAUCAGGUAACAUUAAAUCGUACCCCAAACCGACACAGGUGGUCAGGUAGAGAAUACCAAGGCGCUUGAGAGAACUCGGGUGAAGGAACUAGGCAAAAUGGUGCCGUAACUUCGGGAGAAGGCACGCUGGUGUGUAGGUGAAGUCCCUGCGGAUGGAGCUGAGACCAGUCGAAGAUACCAGCUGGCUGCAACUGUUUAUUAAAAACACAGCACUGUGCAAACACGAAAGUGGACGUAUACGGUGUGACGCCUGCCCGGUGCCGGAAGGUUAAUUGAUGGGGUUAUCCGUAAGGAGAAGCUCUUGAUCGAAGCCCCGGUAAACGGCGGCCGUAACUAUAACGGUCCUAAGGUAGCGAAAUUCCUUGUCGGGUAAGUUCCGACCUGCACGAAUGGCGUAAUGAUGGCCAGGCUGUCUCCACCCGAGACUCAGUGAAAUUGAACUCGCUGUGAAGAUGCAGUGUACCCGCGGCAAGACGGAAAGACCCCGUGAACCUUUACUAUAGCUUGACACUGAACAUUGAGCCUUGAUGUGUAGGAUAGGUGGGAGGCUUUGAAGCGUGGACGCCAGUCUGCGUGGAGCCAACCUUGAAAUACCACCCUUUAAUGUUUGAUGUUCUAACGUUGGCCCCUGACCGGGGUUGCGGACAGUGUCUGGUGGGUAGUUUGACUGGGGCGGUCUCCUCCCAAAGCGUAACGGAGGAGCACGAAGGUUAGCUAAUCCUGGUCGGACAUCAGGAGGUUAGUGCAAUGGCAUAAGCUAGCUUGACUGCGAGCGUGACGGCGCGAGCAGGUGCGAAAGCAGGUCAUAGUGAUCCGGUGGUUCUGAAUGGAAGGGCCAUCGCUCAACGGAUAAAAGGUACUCCGGGGAUAACAGGCUGAUACCGCCCAAGAGUUCAUAUCGACGGCGGUGUUUGGCACCUCGAUGUCGGCUCAUCACAUCCUGGGGCUGAAGUAGGUCCCAAGGGUAUGGCUGUUCGCCAUUUAAAGUGGUACGCGAGCUGGGUUUAGAACGUCGUGAGACAGUUCGGUCCCUAUCUGCCGUGGGCGCUGGAGAAUUGAGGGGGGCUGCUCCUAGUACGAGAGGACCGGAGUGGACGCAUCACUGGUGUUCGGGUUGUCAUGCCAAUGGCACUGCCCGGUAGCUAAAUGCGGAAGAGAUAAGUGCUGAAAGCAUCUAAGCACGAAACUUGCCCCGAGAUGAGUUCUCCCUGAGACUUUAAGUCUCCUGAAGGAACGUUAAAGACGAUGACGUUGAUAGGCCGGGUGUGUAAGCGCAGCGAUGCGUUGAGCUAACCGGUACUAAUGAACCGUGAGGCUUAACC
rnacentral:rRNA from 1 species